GUGGAGACGGAGCGCGAAAUGAAUGAAAGCAGAGCGCAAAAUGAAUGAAUGAAAACGGCAGACUUCAGCGUAUAACGUUUACUGUACACAACUAAAAAGAAAGACGAAGAGAAGAGAAGAGGAGUCUAAUACGAGCCCCUCUUUAGUUACAAGCAGCCUACGAGGUUCCUCUCUAUCUCCCUACACAUCCACCAACCACUGGAAGACAUCUCCAAAGUUCUGCCGGGCCAGCUCAGCUUCCCCUCAGAAGAAGUGCCGCCACCUGCCAGAUGAAGGAGCCUUUUGAGAGGCAGCUGGCAUCGUGAUUGGACUGUACUUUGGUCUGUUCCAAUCCAGCUUCAGGUCCAGAGACGGCAGGCGGGACGAGUCAACGGAGGCUGGGUGGACGAAGGCAUGCAGCUGAGUACGAUCCAGAAAACAACAGAGGACGAGUGUAGCGGCCCAGGGCCAGAACAAACAGAGUAGCAUCGUAUGACUCUUAGAAAACAUCAUAGUAUAGCCUUUGGUAUGAAAAAACGCCAUCAUAUACAUCGUAUAUUGUACAAAUAACAAGUCAAAGGAAAGAGACAUACAUUGUAGAAUUGUAGUAAUUGUGGGCUGACUGAUUUACUGAUUAUCAAUAUUUUAUUUUUUACUGAUUUACAGUAAUAAAUACAUUUAAAAAUGG